rnacentral:lncRNA from 1 species
UUGCACUCUCUCGCCAUUACCGGCAAACCCAAUUAAGCAAUCCACACAUAAAUAUAAUAAUUAAUAGUCGUUGCUUAUCUUUCUCUUCUAAAAAUUUAAUAUGAUAUCUUACCAAGAAUAGGAAUGGAGUGAAUCCUGGUUGUUUUCUUGAAGCAUGCGGGGGCCAAGACUACUGCUGGCAAUUUGGUGGUUGUAGUGCUGUUUAUUUUCCUGAUGAGUGAAGAAUUUUGAUAGAGUUGCUAUAUACAUGGAACAAAAUUAAUGCUAAUGCUCUUGGCUAGCAGCAAAUGCUUUCGUUUAUGAGAGAAUUCAUAAUUUAAUCUCUUAAUUAGCAGGAUAUUAUAGUGUUAACAUGUGGGAUAAGCAAAAGUGCAUAUGUGCAGCUGCCCCAUUUGACCGCUACAGUGCGAUUUUCCCUUGUGGUUCCCGGCGGGCACCUGUCUCACAGCUCAUCGCAAAACUGCCGUCGAUCACCGACACCUGUAAUGAUGACAUUAUCAUGACAUAUAUCUUUAGCUUUAUAGCAGUGAUGCUCCACUAUAAAUUCCCAGCACCUGAAGGCAGACAAACUCACAAUCAAAACACAUAGAGGAGAAAAAAAUGGCGAGGUUGUCUCUAGGUGUGAUGCUCCUUCUGUGUCUAGUGGCCUCUGCCGCUGCACAACCACAUUGUGGCAGGCAAGCCGGCAACAGGAAGUGUCCUGGCAGGAUGUGCUGUAGCCGAUGGGGUUACUGUGGAACAACUGCUGAGUACUGUGGCCCUGGAUGUCAAAGCAACUGCAGACCGAGCAGUGAUGAUCUUAGUGAGAGUAUUAGUGCAUCUAAUGUGAAAGCCACUUCUCGUUCCUACAAUUCUGAACAGAAUGCAUGGAACUUGAAUGCUGCAAAUGCCUUCUGCUCAACCUGGGAUGGCGAUAAGCCAUUGGAAUGGCGCAGUAAACACGCCUGGACUGCCUUCUGUGGACCAGUUGGUCCUCAAGGGAAAGAUGCUUGCGGCCAGUGCUUAAAGGUACGUAAGAGGUUUAGUUAAUUAAUGGGGAUCAAUUUAAAUUUGAUUUGCGUGCACGUACAUAGGUGACAAAUGCUGAAACUGGAGCUGAGGCAACAGUGAGAAUUGUUGAUAAGUGCAGCAAUGGAGGCCUCGACAUGGACGCUGCCGCUUUCAAGCAACUUGAUACUGACGGAAAAGGCAAUGCUCAAGGCUUCCUUAUGGUGAACUACGAGUUUAUAAACUGUACUGCUAACUGAAGAAGAUGAUAACCACACCAAGUCCCUCGUCAUCUUCUGAUAUGAUAAAGAUGAAGGGAAUCUUUCUGCUUGUAUAAAAUUUCAGCAUGUAAUGAAUAAAGUGGUUUAAUAAUAGUUCAACAGCCAUUGUUGAGCGUUUAUUGAAUCAUCUUUUUCAAAGAAAUAAAAUUUAGCUUUAUGAAAAUCAUGUCUUGUCUCUAUUGACUCGGAAUUUUUAUUGCAUGCAAUUGCUUCUCAGAUAAUGGGCAAUCUUUACUUAAACCGGAUUUAUAGAGUUUUAGAGUUUCAUAAUAAUAAAUUUAAAGAUAAAUUCUUUAACCUAUUUUUUGGGAUAAAUUUUUUUAUAAGAAUGUCAAUUUAUUUUUUUUAUUAAAUUUUUUUGUUUGGAAUGAAAAAUUAAUUUAUUUUUUUAAUUUAUAAUAUUUUUAUUUUUUUUAAAAAAAUGAAAUCAAGUAUAAUUUUGUUAAAAUUUAUUUUAAUUUUUUUUAUUAUAAAAUAAAUCCUAUCAAAUAGAGAGUAAAUAAUUUUAAUUUGAAAUUGCACAAAUUUAAAUUAACCUAUUCAAAUAUAAAGAAGGACGGUCAGUCAGAAAUGAAAGGAAAAGCCUUAUAAUCCCUUCAUCCAAUAAUUUGUAUUCAAUUCUUUUAUUAUUUUAAAAUUAUUAUGCAUCUUAUUUUUUCACUAUAAUAGUAUACAAAUUAACCAUUAUAAUCUUAUUUAAUUUUAUAUUAUUUUUAAAAAAUUUCUCAAAAUAUUUUUUAAAUUUUAAAAAAUAUUUUUAAUAAAAUUUAGAAUAAAUUAUACUUUAAUCUUUAAAUUUUAGGAUUAAUUUUUUUUAUUUUUAAAACUCAAUCUCUAAAUUCUAAUUCUAUUAAAAUUAAAAAUUAUUUUAUCUAUAAAAUCUCUUAAAUUAAUAAUGAAAGAUAAAAAAUAUUUUAAAUUUCAAAAAUACUCCAUUCUUUCUCCUCCUUCAUUGUCGUCUUAAUUCACCCUUUUCUUCCUCCAUACCUUUUAGAUCUCAUUUCUACUUUUUUUUUGUUUUUUUUUUUUUUUUAUCUCAUUUCUAUUUUUUUUCUUUCCUUUGAGAGUCUAAACACAAUCUUUAGGAUUUUAGGCCACUGGCUAAGUAUUAGCCUCCUGUAUUUAUAUAAAAUUAGAUAUGUAUGCUUAAUUUCAAAUUAUAUUCUCAUAUAAUUCAUCGACGUUAGACAUUCUUAUUCAUUGUAAAUUGUAUUAUUAUUACAUAAUCAUUUAAAUGUACUUUAUUAGACCUUAUUUGGUUGGGAUAAUUAACUAGAGAAUUUUAAAUUUCCAGGAAAAUUAAAAUUGUGCCUGUUUGGUUAGUAUAUUUUUAAAUUUUGCAGUGAUUUUAGUUGAUAAUUUAGUAUAUGCAGAACAUAUGUUACAAAUGUUGGAUAAUGUACAAGAGAAUUGAGUUAUGAUUAACUCAGUUCGCAACAUAUUGUUUAAUUUUUAAUUAUCUAUUCUUCAUUUUCUCUCCUUAUUAUUAUUAUUUUUUUAAUUCACAGAUAUUGCAAUUUCGGAUUGGAUCUUCGUGAAGAAAAGCAAAUAACUAUGAGAUGUUAGUUUGAUCAGGAUCUGUGAAUUGAGAAGAUUGAUAUCCAGCAAAACCAUCUCCACCACAACUAAUGCUGCUGAUUUUCUCUUCUCAUUCUUUUUUCUAAAAUGAAAACCUCACAAGAAUUUAUAAUCUUAGGGAAAUAAUGAUAACAAUUAUUAUUUUGCAAUUAAGGAAAAUGUUCAAGCAAUGAUACAAGGGACACCCAUUUCCCACUUUCCAUUUGCAAGCUAUUUUAUUCAUUUGUUACAGUGGAGAGAAGCCCUUGGUUUCUUAGAGGGACAAAGCAGAAUCAUCAUCUUCUUCAAGACUUGAAGUAUAGACAGUAUAGAAAGACCAAAUCAAACCAAACACACCAAGAAGUAUCCAUCCAAGAAGGUUGUUGCUCAAACCAAAGGGAAGUCCAGUCCCUUCUGUGCUCAUUCUCUCAUCCACCAACGCCAUGGCUGGCCCUGCUGUGCUUGCUGCUGUUGCCAUCAACGAUAAAACCAUGCUUGUGUUCUUACCCGUGGAUCUUGUCUCUUUCUUCUCCUCUAGGCUGCACCUCACCUUGCACUCUCUUGCCAUUACCGGCAACCCUAUCAGAAACACAACCCAUAAAUAUAAUUUAUCUUUCUCUUAUAAAAAUUUAAUAUGAUGUCUUACCAAGAAUAGGAAUGGAGUGAAUCCUGGUUGUUUUCUUGAAGCUUGCAGGGGCCAAAACUGUUGGCAACUUGGAGGCAGUAAUGGUGGCCAUUUUCCUGAUGGGUAGUGCAAGAUUUUGAGAAAUUUGGUCACAGACUUAGAA